GACAGAGGGGGCAAGCGUUGCUCGGAAUUACUGGGCGUAAAGGGCGCGUAGGCGGCGACUCAAGUUAGAUGUGAAAGUCCUGGGCUUAACCUGGGGACUGCAUUUGAUACUGGGUUGCUUGAAUUCGGGAGAGGAUAGCGGAAUUCCCAGUGUAGAGGUGAAAUUCGUAGAUAUUGGGAAGAACACCGGUGGCGAAGGCGGCUAUCUGGACCGACAUUGACGCUGAGGCGCGAAAGCGUGGGGAGCAAACAGG
rnacentral:rRNA from 1 species